GNUUAACGCUANCCACAGGCCUAACACAUGCAAGUCGAGGGGCAGCACAGUGUAGCAAUACAUAGGUGGCGACCGGCGCACGGGUGAGUAACGCGUAUGCAACCUGCCUACAACAGGGGGAUAACCCGGAGAAAUCCGGACUAAUACCGCAUAAAACAGGGGUCCCGCAUGGGAGUAUUUGUUAAAGAUUUAUCGGUUGUAGAUGGGCAUGCGUUCCAUUAGUUGGUUGGUGAGGUAACGGCUCACCAAGACGUCGAUGGAUAGGGGAACUGAGAGGUUUGUCCCCCACACUGGAACUGAGACACGGACCAGACUCCUACGGGAGGCAGCAGUGAGGAAUAUUGGUCAAUGGGCGAGAGCCUGAACCAGCCAAGUCGCGUGAAGGAAGACUGCCUUAUGGGUUGUAAACUUCUUUUAUACAGGAAUAAAAAGGCUUACGUGUAGGCCAUUGCAAGUACUGUAUGAAUAAGCAUCGGCUAACUCCGUGCCAGCAGCCGCGGUAAUACGGAGGAUGCGAGCGUUAUCCGGAUUUAUUGGGUUUAAAGGGUGCGCAGGCGGGCUUUUAAGUCAGCGGUGAAAUCUGGACGCUUAACGUCCMAANCUGCCGUUGAAACUGGGAGUCUUGAGUAUGRAUGAAGUAGGCGGAAUUCGUUGUGUAGCGGUGACAUGCAUAGAUAUAACGAGGAACUCCGAUUGCGUAGGCAGCUUAYUAAGCCAUAACUGACGCUCAUGCACGAAAGCGUGGGGAUCAAACAGGAUUAGAUACCCUGGUAGUCCACCCCGUAAACGAUGAUUACUAGUUGUAUGCGAUAUNAUAGUAUGUGANUAAGCGAAAGCGAUAAGUANUCCACNUGGGGAGUNCGCCCNCAAGGUUAAAACUCAAAGNAAUUGNCGGGGNCCCGCNCAANCGGUGGAUNAUGUGGAUUAAUUCGAUGCAACGCGAAAANCCUUACNUNCCCUUGACAUGCCAGGAACUUGCCANANAUGGCUUGGUGCCCNAAAGGGAGCCUGGACNCAGGUGCUGCAUGGCUGUCGUCAGNUCGUGUCGUGANAUGUUGGGUUAAGUCCCNCAACGAGCGCANCCCUUGUCAUUAGUUGCCAUCAUUCAGUUGGGCACUNUAAUNAGACUGCCGGUGNCAAACCGGAGNAAGGUGGGGAUGACGUCAAGUCNUCAUGGCCCUUAUGGGUAGGGCUUCACACGUCAUNCAAUGGUCGGUCCAGGGGGUUGCCAACCCGCGAGGGGGAGUUAAUCCCAGAAANCCGNUNGUAGUCCGGAUCNCAGUNUGCAAUCUCGAUUGNGUGAAGUCGGAAUCGUUNGUAUUUCGCGNUNAAAGCAUNCCGCGGUNANNGUAAANG
rnacentral:rRNA from 1 species